AGACGAGAUCUCGUGCUGCGUAAUCCGCGUUGACGGCAUUGAGUUUGACAUUUCAAAUUAGGGGGUGAAACGUAAACAAACGCAGUGAGAAAAACUAUAAUUUUUGUUCAAAGUUAUCUUGAGAUUCUAUAGCUUUCUGCAAAAAUGUGCAAUCGAGUACAGCGAUAACGUCAGUAUAAUAUGGUCGGAAAUAGUGUGGCAUAUUGCGAUUAACUUCUUCUUGUGUUGGCCAUGGUACUAAUGGAGUGCACAUCAUCUUCAACAAUGGAACUGUCCGGUAAAACACCUGAGAAAUAGUCUGGUAAUGAACGGUAGAGUGCGAUCGCUUCUUAUACGCGGCCAACGAACAUAAGCCCUCAACGAUGGUAUCCAACAUUUUGAGGGAAGCUAACCCUGUCCAGGAGUUCAACUCCGAAUCGGUUUUAAAGUGGACAGACAUAGUUCUACGACGACCGAUAAAAAGUUUAUCCAAAUCAAGCGUGUCCACCUGAACAGCUGCUUCCACAAAGUCCGGUGAUGUAAU